GUAGUCUAAUGGCGUGCCUUUUGAAGAAUGAGCCGACGAGUUACUUGUAUGUGGCGAGGUUAAGUCCGAGAAGGACGGAGCCGUAGCGAAAGCGAGUCUGAAUAGGGCGUCCAGUCGCAUGCAGUAGACCCGAAACCGGGUGACCUACCCAUGGCCAGGUUGAAGCGGGAGUAAUAUCCCGUGGAGGACCGAACCCACUAGCGUUGAAAAGCUAGGGGAUGAGCUGUGGAUAGCGGUGAAAUGCCAAUCGAACCCGGAGAUAGCUGGUUCUCCCCGAAAUAUCUUUAGGGAUAGCCUCGGGCGUUCAAUCACGAGGGUAGAGCACUGAAUGGGCUAGGGGGCUUCCCGCUUACCAACCCCAAUCAAACUCCGAAUCUCGUGAUUCUAGAGCCCGGGAGUCAGACUACGAGGGCUAAGCUUCGUGGUCAAAAGGAAAACAGUCCGGACCGUCAGCUAAGGUCCCCAAAUGCAGACUAAGUGGGAAAGGAUGUGGAGUCGCUGAGACAACCAGGAUGUUGGCUUAGAAGCAGCCAUCAUUGAAAGAGUGCGUAACAGCUCACUGGUCAAGUGGUUCCGCGCCGAAGAUCCAACGGGGCUCAAGUCUGCUACCGAAGCUACGGGUUCGCGAUUUAUCGCGAGCGGUAGGGGAGCGUCGUGCAUGCAGUGAAGGUCGAUCGUAAGGACGGCUGGAGCGUGUACGAGUGCGAAUGUCGGCAUGAGUAGCGAAAUGUGGGUGAGAAACCCACACGCCGGAAGCCUAAGGUUUCCUGAGGAAGGCUUGUCCACUCAGGGUUAGUCGGGCCUAAGCCGAGGACAAUACGUCGUAGGCGAUGGACAUCCGGUUGAUAUUCCGGAACCACCAGAGAUCGUUUGCACCGCAAGGUGUCGCUUGGGGAAUGCGACCCAGUGGUUGGUCUGGCCGUAUAGGCCUUUCCGAAGCUGGUUAGUUGAUCCCAGGUGAGAGCAAGGGCAUGACCCAGCAUGGUAGUUCGAGCGUGUUAUGGCUAUACGCGUCUAAGCAGGUAGGCGGGGACGACAGGUAAAUCCGUCAUCCCAUUCAACGCCGAGAAGCGAAUGAGAGCCCUCUUUUGGGUGAUUCGAGUGAGCCAAGCUGGCAAGAAAAGUGUCUAGCGAGAUCAAAGGUGACCGUACCGUAAACCGACACAGGUAGGCGGGUAGAGAAUACCAAGGCGAUCGGGAGAACCCUCGUUAAGGAACUCGGCAAAUUGGUCCCGUAACUUCGGGAGAAGGGACGCCUCGCCGGCAGCUUGCUGCCAGGUCGAGGCCGCAGUGAAACGGCCCAGGCGACUGUUUAGCAAAAACACAGGUCCGUGCUAAAGCGAAAGCUGACAUAUACGGGCUGACGCCUGCCCAGUGCCGGAAGGUUAAGGGAAGGGGUGAGAGCUCUGCACCGAAGCCCCGGUAAACGGCGGCAGUAACUAUAACUGUCCUAAGGUAGCGAAAUUCCUUGUCGGGUAAGUUCCGACCCGCACGAAUGGCGUAACGAUCUGGGCGCUGUCUCAACGAGGGACUCGGCGAAAUUGAAGUACCUGUGAAGAUGCAGGUUACCCACGAUAGGGCAAAAAGACCCCGUGGAGCUUUACUACACUCUGUCAUUGGAUUGGGAUUCUGCACGUGUAGGAUAGGUGGGAGGCUGAGAAGCUGGGGCGCUAGCCUCGGUGGAGCCAUUGGUGAAAUACCACCCUUGUUGUGUUUUGGUUCUAACCGCGACCCGUAAUCCGGGCGCAGGACAGUGGCAGACGGGUAGUUUGACUGGGGCGGUCGCCUCCUAAAGAGUAACGGAGGCGCCCAAAGGUUCCCUCAG
rnacentral:rRNA from 1 species